AUAUUUACAUGGCACGGGAGAGACCAGGAUCACAAAGGUGGUUUUCCAAGAGUGAGAUUCAUGAAUUCCACCCCAGAAGUGCUGCUCCCUGUGAUUUUUCCCAAACGUGGUAAAUUUGACUGUAUAACUUGUGGUAGUGGGGAACUGAAUUUGUAAUUUAUCCCUG